rfam:Gossypium raimondii Chr03_contig_909, whole genome shotgun sequence.
AGUCUGUGAUGUGGGCAUCUCUGGAUUAGCAUUUUAAAACACUCCCAAGCUUCAUGAAAACUUUCUCCCUCUAAUUGUUUGAAAGUUGCGAUCUCCCUCCUUAGUUA